GACGAACGCUGGCGGCGUGCUUAACACAUGCAAGUCGAACGGAAAGGCCCUGCUUUUGUGGGGUGCUCGAGUGGCGAACAGGUGAGUAACACGUGAGUAACCUGCCCUUGACUUUGGGAUAACUUCAGGAAACUGGGGCUAAUACCGGAUAGGAGCUCCUGCUGCAUGGUGGGGGUUGGAAAGUUUCGGCGGUUGGGGAUGGACUCGCGGCUUAUCAGCUUGUUGGUGGGGUAGUGGCUUACCAAGGCUUUGACGGGUAGCCGGCCUGAGAGGGUGACCGGCCACAUUGGGACUGAGAUACGGCCCAGCCUCCUACGGGAAGCAGCAGUUGGGAAUAUUGCACAAUGGGCGGAAGCCUGAUGCAGCAACGCCGCGUGCAGGAUGACGGCCUUCGGUUUGUAAACCGCUUUCGCCUGUGACGAAGCGUGAGUGACGGUAAUGGGUAAAGAAGCACCGGCUAACUACGUG
rnacentral:rRNA from 1 species